AACAUGAUUCCUUAUUUCCUUCUUUAGUUAAAAAAAAAAGAAAACUCUAAUACCUAAUCUCUCUCAACUCUCUCAACUACUGCAGCCGACAUCAUCAAGAUCCACCGCACCACGGCAAUCCGGCAUCCACCGCUCCACUGCACCGGCAUCAAGAUCCUCCCAUGUCCGCCUGCAUCCACCGCUGGCCAUCCACCACGCAUAGCACUCCGGCAGUUCAAAAUUUGCCGAUAUCAGAUCUGAAUCUAAAUUGAAGUUCGGUUUGAUUCGGAGUUGAAGAUUGGAACAAAUAACAGUAUGUGCAGCUGAAUGGUUUGGGUAUUUUGAAUAAGAACUGUUGAUUAAAAUCGAAGUCGGAUACUUUUAGUUCAUUUCGGAAACUAAAAACUGGAUUUUGUUGGAUCAGGCCCCUUUUUUAGGACUUUAAGGUUCCUGUAAUAGCAUAAACAAUGUGUGAAUCACAGUUUGAUUUUUUUUUAAUCACAGUUUGAUUUUUUAGUGUUCGUUAACAGGUAUUAACAGCUAAUUUUCGUGUAUAUCGUGUCGUGUUCGUGUUUGAAAAAAAGGACACGAAAUCUUAUCGUGUCGUGUUCGUGUAUGGCCUUUCGUGUAUCGUGUCUUAUCGUGUCGUAUCUUAUCGGGUACGGGUAUACACGAUAUGUCAGCCCUAGUUCCAAAUAGCUUUUGGCUUGGUGAAACUUAUUAUGUGGAACAACUUCUAUACAUUUGACAAAUCACCAAGCUAAUAUCUGUAUCUUAUCUAUUACAAUUCAUCACCAAAUCUAUACUUAUACUUUAUCUCACCAAAUUUAUUUAACAACAAUACAAAAUACUUAGAAAUUACAAUAACGAACCCACUACAAACAAUGAUAUAAUGAGCUUUGUCCUUUUUAGUAGAAACUACACUAACUACCCUAGUAAACGAACAAAGUGAAAUGACUGAAAUCCAAAAUCAUAAAAAUAAUCAAUAAAUAAAAUGAAUUUAGUAACCAAACACCGUUAGAAGCCCUUUAUCUAACCAACUAUACACCCAGACGAAAACUUCAUAUCAGGAUAAGGUGAUAACGGCGGCACCUCAAAUAUCCCUUUCCCGUUACCCUCACCAAAAUCCCAAACAGCCGUCCAACUAGACGGUGUUAACGGCACAACACCACCCCCAUCCGUUGUCUUAACGACGUCACACACCUUGGUUUCCGGCUCAACUUUCGGUUGUUUCCAGGGUUCAACAUCUAGUUCCGUCUCUCUAACAACCCUUUUCCGCCCACUACUCUUCACCUCCACCAGCGAACACCCAAUUUCCAACGGGAAAUUUAAUAUCGCCUUAUUACCACGAAGCUUAAACGCUGCACGGUCGUACGCCUUAGCUGCUUGUACGGCCGUGUCAAACGUCCCCAACCAAACCCGUGUUCCUUUUUUAUUCGGGUCACGGAUUUCGGCUGCGAACUUUCCCCACGGCCGUUGUCUUACUCCUCUAUAAUGUAUUCUUUCCGCCACUAAGGGAAUUGAGAUGUUUAUAGCGGGUUUUCGUUCUUUUAAAGUAUUACGGUAAUUAGUUUCAACGUUACCAUUAGUUGAUGGUGAAGUUUGAGGGUAGGUUUGAAAGAAGGAUGCGUCGUCGAUGAGGAGGUGUUGGCGGAUGAGGUCUAGAGUUGAGGAUUCUUGUUCGGAAGCCAUUGAUGAUGAUAAAUGGAAUUGAGUUGUUGAAUUUGAAGUGGAAAAAUGAGGAGUGAUAUGAAAAGAUUUAUAGGGGUGAAUUUGAAGGUAAAAGGUGGGCGCGAGGGUGGUUCGAGGAGGAAGGAAGGAAGGAAGUAGCCAAAUGAGUUUGGUUUUAUCGAUGGUUUGUCUUUUUAUCACACUUGCUUUGUUACCCCCACCAUGCAACUUGAUUUCUUAAACUUGUGAAAGGGGUGGGUUACUUGUUUAGGCGGGGUAAUAAGUCUUAACGGGUUUGUUUGGGUUAGAACAUGUCAUAUUUAAAAAAAAACGUUAUUUGUGAAUUUUUAAAAUAACGGGUAGAGGUCCGUUUUAGAAAAUAUUGCUUUUUUUAUCCGGUUUUCAUGGCUCUUUUCCUCUUAGUUAGGGAUAUCCAAAGUCGGUUCAGUUAUGAAGGCUUAACCUUAACAAUAACAAUAACCGAAAUUUGGUUUUGGAGAAUUACUUAACCAUAACUAUAACCAAUGGUCAGUUAAGCAUGAUUCCGUUAACCGUUGGUUAUAAACCAGUUUUAGUUAUUUUUGGUUGAUUGUCCAAUGUAUUUUUGUUCUUAUUUUUAUUUUUUUUGCUUUGUUUAAACUGAAAAUGGUUUGAUUAUGAUGUUCUAUACUAGGU
rnacentral:lncRNA from 1 species